GAUGAACGCUGGCGGCGUGCCUAAUACAUGCAAGUCGAGCGGACAGACGAGGCGCUUGCUCCUCUCACGUUAGCGGCAGGCGGGUGAGUCACACGUGGAUCACCUACCUAUAAUUCGGAUAUCAUUUCGAGACACCGGCUCUAAUACCAUAGAAGAUAUUGCACCGCGUGGUUCAAUAGUGAGUGACGGCUUUGCGGUCACGUAUAGCUGGAUCCCGGCCGCAUGAGCUGGUUGGUAAGGUCACGGCCUACCAAGGCUACGAUGCGUAGCCGACCUGAGCGGGUGAUCGGCCACACUGGAACUGAGACACGGUCCAGACUACUACGGGAGGCAGCAGUCGGGAACGUGCCGCAAUGGGCGGAAGCCUGACGGAGCAACCCCGAGUGAGAGACGAAGGUCCUCGGAGCGUAAAGCCCGGUUACGAGUGAAGAACAGAUGUCUAAGUAACCAUGGAGGUCGUGACGGUAACGAAUAAGAAAGCCACGGCUAACUACGUG
rnacentral:rRNA from 1 species